CUUUAUUUCGACUUUACUCGAGAUUUGUACGAAGGAUACGGUUUAUAUCAGUUUUUUCGACUAUGCGUUUCCUAUCUCGGUGGCGAGUACGAGGUAGAAAAUCUUUUUCGACAAAGGUCAGCUGUAACUCCUUUUUGGCCCCUAUAUCUCUGUUUACGUUCUAUUAAAAUAAAAGAAGGUUUUUACCUUUUUCUCAAAAGAGGAACUUUGCAGUAUUGCUUGGUAAAACCUCUCAUGACUAUUUGUGCAAUUUUCCUGCAAAGAAAGAACCGUUACUGUCCUGGUAAUUGGAAUCUUCGGUGUGGUUAUAUUUAUCUCUCAACAAUAAACAAUUCAAGUAUUACCUUCUCACUUUGCUGCCUUAUAUUGUUUUAUCACGCGACAUCUGUGGAGCUCAAGCCGUGGAAUCCUUUAGGGAAAUUUUUAUGCGUGAAGGCUGUACUGUUUUUUUCCU